rnacentral:rRNA from 1 species
GACGAACGCUGGCGGCGUGCUUAACACAUGCAAGUCGAACGGAAAGGCCCUGCUUUUGUGGGGUGCUCGAGUGGCGAACGGGUGAGUAACACGUGAGUAACCUGCCCUUGACUUUGGGAUAACUUCAGGAAACUGGGGCUAAUACCGGAUAGGAGCUCCUGCUGCAUGGUGGGGGUUGGAAAGUUUCGGCGGUUGGGGAUGGACUGGGGGCUUAUCAGCUUGUUGGUGGGGUAGUGGCUUACCAAGGCUUUGACGGGUAGCCGGCCUGGGAGGGUGACCGGCCACAUUGGGACUGAGGGACGGACCAGACUCCUACGUGAGGCAGCAGUGGGGAAUAUUGCACAAUGGGCGGAAGCCUGAGGCAGCAACGCCGCGUGCGGGAUGACGGCCUUCGGGUUGUAAACCGCUUUCGCCUGUGACGAAGCGUGAGUGACGGUAAUGGGUAAAGAAGCACCGGCUAACUACGUG